rnacentral:rRNA from 1 species
UGGGGAAAUUUGGACAAUGGGGGAAACCCUGAUCCAGCCAUCCCGCGUGUGCGAUGAAGGCCUUCGGGUUGUAAAGCACUUUUGGCAGGAAAGAAACGUCAUGGGUUAAUACCCCGUGAAACUGACGGUACCUGCAGAAUAAGCACCGGCUAACUACGUGCCAGCAGCCGCGGUAAUACGUAGGGUGCAAGCGUUAAUCGGAAUUACUGGGCGUAAAGCGUGCGCAGGCGGUUCGGAAAGAAAGAUGUGAAAUCCCAGAGCUCAACUUUGGAACUGCAUUUUUAACUACCGGGCUAGAGUGUGUCAGAGGGAGGUGGAAUUCCGCGUGUAGCAGUGAAAUGCGUAGAUAUGCGGAGGAACACCGAUGGCGAAGGCAGCCUCCUGGGAUAACACUGACGCUCAUGCACGAAAGCGUGGGGAGCAAACAGG